rnacentral:rRNA from 1 species
UGGGGAAUCUUCCGCAAUGGACGAAAGUCUGACGGAGCAACGCCGCGUGAGUGAAGACGGCCUUCGGGUUGUAAAGCUCUGUUAUUCGGGAAGAACGAUUCGUUUGUGAACAAUGAACGGAAGUGACGGUACCGAAAGAGAAAGCCACGGCUAACUACGUGCCAGCAGCCGCGGUAAUACGUAGGUGGCAAGCGUUGUCCGGAAUUAUUGGGCGUAAAGAGCGCGUAGGCGGUAUGGUAAGUCCAUCUUAAAAGUGCGGGGCUUAACCCCGUGAUGGGAUGGAAACUGGGAAGCUGGAGUAUCGGAGAGGAAAGUGGAAUUCCUAGUGUAGCGGUGAAAUGCGUAGAGAUUAGGAAGAACACCGGUGGCGAGGGCGACUUUCUGGACGAAAACUGACGCUGAGGCGCGAAAGCGUGGGGAGCAAACAGG